GGUGGUGCUAUUGUGGAGAUCGUACACCCGAAAAUAGAGAGCUAGAUGGGAGUUGUUCUUAUAAAUGCGGAGGAAACCAAGAUCAGUAUUGUGGUGGACAGCAUACGCAAAGCUUCUAUGUAAACCGCAACUACAGUAAUGGAUAUCUUGGGUGCUUCAAUGACGAGGCUGAUUCAAUGUUCAAUGUGAAAAACACUUCAUCGACAUCCAUGACUGUGGAAAAAUGUAAAGAAUUUUGUCAGAAGGAAGAUGUCCCAUUCUAUGGACUACUAGCAGGCAUUGAAUGUGUCUGUAGAAAUUCACCGCUGCCGAGCGUCAAUAAGUCAGACGAAGACUGUCGAAUCAAAUGUAGUGGGUACGAGAAGGAUUUUUGUGGAGGAGACGGGAUGAUUGGUUUUCAUAAGAAUUCUUAUUAUGAAAAGGGUACUAAUUUAAAAACCUCCAUUGGUUCAAGGCUACACAUUCUACAUAAAUACAUGAAAGGCGAAGAUAACGAACAAUGAUCAAUCUCAUAACCCCUAUAAGAAAUAGAAAACACGGAGUUGGGCAAACACGGACUUCUAGAUAUAGAAGAAGUGGGAUCAGGUGCCUAAGAGGAGUAAUCAUCUCCUGUCGACUGUUCACACAAGCCGUGAGUUCUAUAUCUUGAUCAGGUAAACCUAGCCAAAAUCAGUGUACCAACAACGACCAAACA